UACGUAGGGUGCGAGCGUUGUCCGGAAUUACUGGGCGUAAAGAGCUCGUAGGUGGUUUGUCGCGUUGUUCGUGAAACUCACAGCUCAACUGUGGGCGUGCGGGCGAUACGGGCAGACUGGAGUACUGCAGGGGAGACUGGAAUUCCUGGUGUAGCGGUGGAAUGCGCAGAUAUCAGGAAGAACACCCGUGGCGAAAGCGGCUCUCUGGAACGGUACUGACGCUGAGACGCGAAAGCCGUGGGGAGCGAACAGG
rnacentral:rRNA from 1 species